CGGAGGAUGCAAGCGUUAUCCGGAAUUAUUGGGCGUAAAGCGUCCGCAGGUGGUUAUUCAAGUCUGCUGUUAAAGAGUGAAGCUUAACUUCACAAAGGCAGUGGAAACUGAACAACUAGAGAUCAGUAGGGGUAGCAGGAAUUCCCAGUGUAGCGGUGAAAUGCGUAGAGAUUGGGAAGAACAUCGGUGGCGAAAGCGUGCUACUGGGCUGAAUCUGACACUGAGGACGAAAGCUAGGGGAGCAAAAGGGAUU
rnacentral:rRNA from 1 species